GAUGAACGCUGGCGGCGUGCUUAACACAUGCAAGUCGAACGGUGAAAGCGGAGCUUGCUCUGCUGGACCAGUGGCGAACGGGUGAGUAACACAUGAGCAAUCUGCCCCUGACUCUGGGAUAAGCGCUGGAAACGGCGUCUAAUACCGGAUACGAGCUGCGAAGGCAUCUUCAGCAGCUGGAAAGCACUUCGGUCAGGGAUGAGCUCGCGGCCUAUCAGCUAGUUGGUGAGGUAACGGCACACCAAGGCGUCGACGGGUAGCCGGCCUGAGAGGGUGACCGGCCACACGGGGACUGAGACACGGCCCAGACUCCUACGGGAGGCAGCAGUGGGGAAUAUUGCACAAUGGGCGCAAGCCUGAUGCAGCAACGCCGCGUGAGGGAUGACGGCCUUCGGGUUGUAAACCUCUUUUAGUAGGGAAGAAGCGAAAGUGACGGUACCUGCAGAAAAAGCACCGGCUAACUACGUGCCAGCAGCCGCAGUAA
rnacentral:rRNA from 1 species